rnacentral:piRNA from 1 species
UACUGCUGUGGGGGUAGCACCAGAUAAGGUCCUUUC